GCGCGUGCGCAUCCUGGAGAGCUGGAGCGCGCAGUCGCUAUAGGCGCCACUUUUUCCUUCCCCUCCCUCUACACCCCCCCGCUCUUUGAGUCCGUGGUAUGGUGCGCGCGCGGGAUCGUUUCCACCCUCACGUGACAUGGAGGCGGAGAGAGGAAGGGAAAGGUCAGUGGCGACGUCGGCGGAGCGGAAGGUCAGGGCGGGAGCGGAAGUGGGAGCCGGAGCCUGUCCGCCAUUGUGGGAAAGCGGCGCCUAGAGCAGGGGGGGAAGCAGCGCUGCGUCCGGCCGGCUCCUUCCAGCGGGAACCCGAUCGGCGGCGGCGAGCCCGGGCGGCAGCGGCGGCGACAAUCAAGCGGCAGCGGGGAGAGCGGCGCGGUCCGUGUGUGCGGGAGUCACUCGAGGCCCAGGUGGAGCGAGGGGAUCGCGGCUCCCCGUGAAGAAUGUCAGCCACUAGCGUCGACCAGAGACCUAAAGGACAGGGAAAUAAAGGAAAAAUGGUUUGCUCUGACACAGUCCUGCACUGUGAAAUUAUGCCAAUUUCAGUACAAAACGGUUCGAUUCAUCAAAAGGAUGCAGUAAAUGAUGAUGACUUUGAGCCAUAUCUAAGUAGCCAGACAAAUCAGAGUAACAGCUAUCCACCAAUGUCAGACCCAUACAUGCCUAGUUAUUAUGCUCCAUCCAUUGGAUUUCCAUAUUCUCUAAGUGAAGCAGCAUGGUCCACUGCAGGUGACCCUCCAAUGCCAUACUUGACAACCUAUGGACAGAUGAGCAAUGGUGAACAUCACUAUAUACCUGAUGGUGUGUUUAGUCAACCUGGGGCUUUAGGAAAUACCCCUCCAUUCCUUGGUCAGCAUGGAUUUAAUUUUUUUCCUGGGAAUGCAGAUUUCUCUACAUGGGGGACAAGUGGAUCUCAGGGACAAUCAACACAAAGCUCUGCUUAUAGCAGCAGCUAUGGCUAUCCACCUAGCUCUCUUGGUAGAGCCAUAGCAGAUGGACAGGCUGGAUUUGGCAGUGAUACUCUGAGCAAGGUGCCUGGGAUUAGCAGCAUUGAGCAAGGCAUGGCGGGACUGAAAAUUGGUGGGGAUAUGACAGCUGCUGUGACAAAAACUGUAGGUUCAGCUCUGAGCAGUACAGGUAUGACCAGCAUUGCAGCAAAUAGUGUGCCCCCAGUUAGCAGUUCAGCACCUAAACCAACCUCAUGGGCUGCCAUUGCUAGGAAGCCUGCUAAACCUCAGCCGAAACUCAAGCCUAAGGGUAAUGUGGGAAUUGGGGGCCCUGCUGUACCACCACCUCCUAUAAAACACAACAUGAACAUUGGAACUUGGGAUGACAAAGGGUCGGUGGUAAAAGCACCCCCUUCCCAGCCAAUACUGCCUCCUCAGACUAUAAUACAGCAGCCUCAGCCAUUAAUUCAACCACCACCAUUGGUGCAAAGCCAAUUGCCUCAACAGCAGUCUCAGCCACCACAACCGCAGCAGCAACAAGGACCUCAGCAGCAGGCCCAGCCUCACCAGUUGCAGCAGCAACAGCAGCUGCAAAACCGCUGGGUAGCUCCUCGUAACAGGGGCGUGGGCUUCAGCCAGAACAAUGGAGGAGCUGGCAGCGAAAACUUUGGCUUAGGUGUUGUACCUGUCAGCUCUUCACCUGGUGUAGAGGUGCACCCAGUACUGGAGAAACUAAAGGCCAUAAACAACUAUAAUCCCAAAGACUUUGAUUGGAAUCUGAAGAAUGGACGUGUGUUUAUAAUCAAAAGCUAUUCGGAGGACGAUAUACACCGCUCCAUUAAAUACUCUAUCUGGUGUAGUACUGAACAUGGUAAUAAACGUUUGGAUGCUGCUUACCGUUCCCUGAAUGGAAAAGGUCCACUCUAUUUACUCUUCAGUGUGAAUGGCAGUGGACAUUUUUGUGGAGUGGCUGAGAUGAAGUCUGUUGUGGACUACAAUGCAUAUGCUGGAGUCUGGUCUCAGGAUAAGUGGAAGGGGAAGUUUGAUGUUAAGUGGAUCUUUGUCAAAGACGUUCCCAAUAACCAGCUGCGGCACAUUCGUUUGGAAAACAAUGACAACAAACCGGUUACCAAUUCGAGGGACACUCAAGAGGUACCCCUAGAAAAAGCUAAGCAAGUGCUUAAAAUAAUUGCUACUUUCAAGCAUACCACCUCAAUCUUUGAUGACUUUGCACACUAUGAAAAGCGUCAGGAGGAGGAGGAAGCCAUGCGUAGGAAGCCUAUAGAAUUGAAGAGAAGAGGAAAUGAUGAAGUAAUCAGAGUCCAGAUAGAGGAAUAGACUGGAGGAACAUCCCUAUGGAGGGAGGUGGAAGUGACAAAGUUUUUAAUUGGAUUCAGAAAUUGAUAGGGAGCCAAUUCAGGAGAGAAAUAGAAACAAACAAUAACUAUAUGGAGAUGUCCUGCUAGAAUUACAACACUAAUGAUGUAGACUCUGGAAAUGCCUAAUAUGUCUAAGACGACGUUAUUAAAGCUUUUUUUCUGCUUAAGGUGACAUCUUUGAACACUUUAACACGAAAUUGACUCUUCUUGUAAUGGUUCUCAUCAGUGCAUCUGCCCUUAUACUCUCUCACCAAACACACUUGAGAACUGUAACUUCGUCAAGCACUUUCUGUCCUGAAGCUUUUACCAGUAUCUGCUGUCUUUUGUAUUUAUGCAUCCUAGCUAAGGCACAGGAGCCGGAAGGAAUGCAAGGAUUCAUUAACUCUUUGAAUUUGUUAAAUACUAACAAUUAACCAUUAGAAGUGAUUCCAUGAUGUGAGAUUCACAUUGCUUCAACUUAUUUUUUCUUUGUUGUAGUUUUUUUUUUAAUUGUCAGUUUUUAGCUAUUCAACAGAUUAAAAGCAAAAUCAUGCCAUAUUUAGUCCUGGAGUAAAACUCAAGUCUAAAUGUUCAUGUGAAAAUUAUUGUAGUAAACUUUUAAUAUGGCAAAGCAACUUUAAGAUGCAGUUUAGCCAAAUGAAACGUAACAUGAAAUUAUAUUAGAAUGACAUUUCCCUUGUUUCAAACUGUUUGGUGUAAGAGAAUAUUAAUAUGCAGCUUGGUGGACAGCACCGGUUAAUGCACACUUCUUUAUUUUUUCUGUAAUAUGUAUACCGAAAAAAGUGCAUUUGUCUGAGGAACUGUUUGUUUGCUACCACUCAAUGAAUCUCAGUUUUGAGUAAAUGUACCUCAGUCUAAAUCAGACUUUUUAUGACCUUUAUAACUACAUUUAAAACCUUUAAUUCCUAUUUCUGGGUGUUUGCAAGCCUGACAGAUUGCUAUCAUGGAAGUGAAAAUUUACUCCUCUAGAUGAUUCACUAGCUAAAUAAACAUAAUUCUUGUUUAGCAAGCAUAUACUGUUUCUCAGCUUUUUUCCUCCUAUUAUCACAGUAUUCAGGCAUUCUCUCUUCAAAAUACUUUUCGAAAAAGACUGAUCAGUGGAUCAAGUCUGUGUUCACAUCCAUGUGUACCUGUUACUGGCUAGAGCUCUCUAACAAAGUGUUUAAGAUACUAUAUUAAUCUGAAUACUUCUAUGCUAAAUUUUUAAUUUACCUUUUGAAAAUUAUUUUUUACAAUAACCUGUUUCUUAGUAACAUGAAUUUUACCUGAUGGAAGAAUUUGUAUGAUCAAAAAUGUCAAGCGGCUGUAUGAACUGCAUAAAAUACUGAACAGUCUGUACAAAUUCCAGAGAUAGUUUCCUUUUUUUAGAACAGCAGUGUAGAAGACAGAUAUGUUAAAGCUUAAAAUAGCAAUACUGCAGAUUUGAAUGCCUUUGGUGUGUCUUAUUAUCCAACACAAAUGUUUACAUUGUGUUUGGAAUCUCUUGCAUUUACAACAGCUUCUAGUCAGCUAAGUUCUGACAUUUAGGGACAAGCACAGCUUUUUUAAAUAUAGGCUAUUUUACUAUAUAUGCACUACUUUUUUCUCUUCUCCAACACACACACACACAACGAAUAUACAGUAUUCUUUGUCCAUUGAUUUAAAACAUUUUACAGUCCCUCGGUGGAGAUUUAAUUCAAUACCCUGGAGCAUGGGAUAUAAAGCGUUACGAAUACAAAUGUUAGCUUGUCCCAGUAUUCUGAAAGUUCAAAAGGUAAUAGCACCUGGCAGUGUAGAGAAGGAAGCCGCUUGAUUCAAAUGCUGUGGGGUACGGGGAGGGGCCAGGAACAAAGGGGGUGGACAGAAAGGGGCAAGCUGUGUUUGUCGCAUGGAAUUACAUGCUAGGGGACUGUGGUAGAAGGGUCUAUAACCACUGAGCACAAUUCCCUUCAGGACCUAGAUUUGGAAACCUGAGUCCCGGACUCCCAGCAUUCCUUUAUUGUAUAGCAAAUAGCUAUAAAAUAGUGGCAGAAUGUUUCGUCUCUCUCUCUACUGGCUAGUCUACAGAGGAAAAUAGCCUACCACUCCUACCAGCUAGUCUGUUCGCUUAAGUGGCAGAUAUUGAGGCUGUGAGUGUAAAGGGUCUAAUCCUGCUGGUGACCCAUUUGGGCAUCAACAUGUUUCCACACCAUGGAAUUUGUUUUUCCUUUUGCUUUUUAAAACAGUGUUCGAUAUUACAGGGGGACUACAGUGAAAGAAUGUUAAGUUUGCAAGUCAAGCAUUCGAAAAUUAGGAAAUGCCAGAAUCAAGUUUGUUUGCGUGCUCUUAAUUUAGAUUCCAUGUAUAUAUACCUUGUUAGUCUUUAAUUAUAUGAUCACAUACUAUUUUUUCCCACAAGAACCCAGCCUAAUUCAGUGCACAGAACGAAGCAGGUUGUAUGUAGUGAAUGAGGCUAUGCCUUAUUUGUUCUAGAAGUUAAAAGAUGUGAAGAAAAUGACGUGGGAUUGCAGGAUGAGACAGAACGAUCUUCUGGCUAAGGUAGUUGCUAUAGAGUUCCUGUAUGAUGCUAGGCAAGUCACUUAAGACAAACUUUUCAGAGGUGGCCGCUAACUGUGUUUUAACUUUUCUGGGUGCCCAAAUUGAGACCUGAGCAUUCACACCUAAAAUUGAUUUCAAUAUACUUUAAAUAUAGAAAAUGCUGUAAAAUACUAAAUACUCUAUAAAAUCAGAUCCUGAGUGGUAUUGGGCACACACAAAAUUCAUGAGUACUUGACAUUUUUGGCCUUGAAAUGAUGCACAGAAGUUAAUCUAUACAAAGGUAGGAUUUGUCAUCCCCUAUCUCACUGGAGUAUUGUUAAAAUAAGUUUUCAGAUGCGUGAUGAGUGUCAUAGAAAAGCCCAUGAAGAAAAUACUAAUUCUUUAGUCAGUGCAGGGUUUGGAUGGUGUGCAGUAGGUAAGGCACAAGGUCUCAUACCAAAUGAGAUUGAAAUAUUGAAAUAGUUACCCAGGAUAAAUCAAGUCAGGCUCCUGGUAGAAAAUCUAGUAAGUGAUCGUGUAACUAAUGACUGUCAUAAUAUAUACAUACAAGAGGGACAUAUUAAGUUUGCAUGGGUAGCCAUAAUUCUGCCAUUCUUUAGCUUUUGAGUGCUGCUUGACUGUAAUUUUUUUAAUGAGAAAUGCAUCUUGUCACUUGAAUUCCCAGGCUGCUGGCCUAACAAAAUAUGGGUACUAUUUUUCUUUGAGGGACUUCUGUACUGGGACAGACUCUCACCUACUAUUACUUAGGCAAAUUUCAGCUCAUUAGGUUUCCGCAUAUCCUUUGGUAACUUAUUACAUUUUUGCAUUUAAACAAGUUUGCUCCUUUUAGAGCUAAUCUCUUCUUCUGCUUGAUCCUGUACCACUGACGUCCUGCUGAAUUCAUGACUGCAAUUUUUCCAAAAUUCAUUGGAAAAAGAAUUGAUCUCAAAGCUCAGGUCUGUGGCACCAAAAAAUUGAGUUGGUCUAAUGCAGAUAACUGAAAUAAUAAAGAUGAGACAUUUUCACCGAGUCUUACCUGUAAAGUCCCUUCGUGAGGUUACUUUUUUUAUAGUUGGAAAUUCUCAUUUCAAAUGUUAAAAAUGAUUCAAAAAUAAAUGUACCAUGUUUCUCUAUGUAUGGAUGCUGGUUGAUCUUUCCCAGCAGAAAUUUAGUUAAAUAAAUACUGCCUUGUAAAUUCCAAUGCAGUGCUAGCUGCCUUAUUUUGGUCCUGUCUAGGCUAGGCUUUCAAAGUAAUUAAUAUCUCUGCAGCAAGAAAGAUGUUUAAAUGGUUCUCCAGAUGUUGCUAACAGUUUGAAAACCUAAUGCAGAACUGGCCUGUGUGGGGGGAGGGGAAGGGGUUUGUUUUUUGUUUUUUGAAGCAUUGACUUUUUUAAAGGGAUACUUGAUAUUGAAGAGGCAUUCAAAUACCUAACAUUGUUCAUGGGGGGGGGUAAUGGUUGUUAGAAAAAGUUUAGAAAAAUAAUCAAUAUAAGCAGUUCCAUCAUUUCAACUCAUUUUGCUGCCAUUUUCAUUUUAAGGAAAUGAGAGGCACUUGUUUUCAGUAACAUUUGUGUAUUCUUUUGCCAUGUAAAGAUCCUUCAUCUAUUUUUCUGGUAAAAAUUAAGGAAAAGAUUAAGGGAGAAUGGUUCAUUUAACUUCAUUCAUAGCAGAACAUGGAUGUUUGAAUUUUGUUUGUUCCUUCAUGUGGAUUAGACUGCAGUUAAUUAGGUGAGAGCUUCUGUUUGGCAUGAAAACUCACCAUUUGGUCCUUUUUAAUCCUUGUGAGGGUUUCAAUAAAGAGAACCUGUUGA